rfam:Brassica napus, WGS project CCCW01000000 data, contig: 11956
AGCGGUGAAGAUAAAACAAUUUAAAGUGACGGCUUAGUCCGUCGCUGUCGUCCUGACUUACCGUGACGAUAGCAAGUGCCGUCCGAGCU